GUCAAAAAGGAUUUCUUUACCUUUUCUCUUUGAGAGAGAUAGAUCUGAAUUCAGUGUCCAUGGAGUUUUCUCUACUAAUUUUAUUUUCUAUAAAAACCCUUUUGCAUACUAUAAGUAAAGGCUUUGGGGAUCAUAUAUAUAUCAAAAUAACAAGGGCAGCAGUGAGCGAGAUUUACUGACAGAAGAGAGUGAGCAUACGCAGAUAAUUAACACCAAACGCACGAAUCUGAAGAUGAAGAAUGGACGAGGAUCGAGAAAGUUAAGGAUGGGUUACUUUCAUUUUUUAUUCGAAACUAACAUGUUUAUUUCCGCUGUUAUUUAAGAUAUAUGGUUAGUGAGUUCAGAAUGCAUGUGAUCCUAUACAUUUUAAUUGCAUAUUGUUUACAUAUACUACAUAAUACAGUAUGUUGUUUUAACUUUUGAUAAUAAUGUGUACUAUUGAACUGAGCAGGUGAAAAAAAAAGGCAAAAUGAUGGAGACACUGAAUUUAGGUUCUGAAUGGUAGCAAAACGUUGUACCUUUUGAUGAAGUGAAAGGCUAAGUAACGCGUGUCAUCAUUUCCUCUUGAGUUCUCUCUAUAUUAGCAGCUUGACAUGAUACUCACCAGAAAAAAGAAUCACUUUGACUCACAAAAUGUUGACUCAAUCAUUACAAAGUUUAUGUUUUUAAAGAUUUGUAGAUGGGUUUUUUUUUUCCCUGAAAAUAUACAGUAGAUCAUGAAAAAUAUUUAGUUUGAGGUUUUGAAAAGGGUUUUUUUAAAUUUUUAUUUGGGUGAAAACCUAGAUGGAAUAAAAUGAGUGAAUGUUUUAAUGAUAACCCCAAUUAUUAAUUAAAUAUUUUGUUUAAUAAGCGUGACUUUUGAUGUACUUAUAUCUGAUGGAGAGGACAAACAUGGAUUUGGAAGGUAACCUUGUUUUACUGUUCUCAUUUAACCGAAAACAUGCAUAUAUUAUUUUUUAUUAUAUUUUUUUGAGAACAUAAUUGGUAUUUUUUUCUCUUUUCUAGAACUAGACUAGACUAGAACUGUCUAGUUUCUUCUUCAUUCUUUUUAGGUUUUUUUUCCCCUUUAAAUUUUGCUUCAUUUUCUAGAUGAAUAUGAACUAGUUGGGUAACCUCUUUUGGAUAUUUAAACAAAAAAAACUGUCUUUUUUCUGUAUGUGAUAUGAAUCUUUGGAUACUUUCUUGAAAUGCUAGGGAUUUUUUUUAAAAAAAUUCUUUUAUGUGGGUUCAUGUAAUAUUUUAUGUAGGUUUUUUUGAGCUAAUUAAUUUCUCUUCAAUAUGCAGUAAAUGGUAUGAUUUUUGGUUCUUUUGCAGAGGGCAAGAAAGAAAGUUAGUGAAGAAUAGAAAUCUCAGCUAUCAGUGGAAGUUGAAGAUUUUCCAUUUCCAGCAGCAGAUCAGAGAAAAUAAAGUUUCUAGUUUGAGAAGGCAAGAAAGAAAAUUAGUGAAGAAUGAAAUCUUUGCUAUCAGUGGAAGUUGAAAAAUAUUCUAUUUACAGAUGGGAGUUGCCAACCUGUUCAUUGGGGGACCAGCUCAACUGGUUUUAUCAUAUUAUUCAGCAGUUUUUUUUUUCCCAACUUCGAGGGAACAAGAGUAAACAAAGGAGAAUUAACAGGACCAUUUUAUCUAUUGUAUGACCUAAGUUAGAUAAAAUGGGAUAAGUUAUGUUUGCUUCUGAUGGAGAUGAAAGAGCAAGAGAUUGAUAUUUUCUUCACUUGGUGGUAUAUUUGGUGGCUACAUUCUGAAAAGAACUGAAUAGUUUACUAGUCUUGUCCAUUAGCAACAACCUCCCCCUCCGCACAAAAAAGAAGACUACAAAAAAGAAAGAGGUAUUGUACACAUGGUUACUCGGUGUUUCAUUCCAAUAUGGUCUAAUGUCCUCUUUAACUCUUUUGUUGUAAAAGAAAAUUGAAGCGAUUCACCCACUCUAUGCUGGACUGAGGUGAUUGGGGGUUUGGCAUUGGCACUUCUAGAAAUUGGCAAGAAGAGCUCAGGUCGAGGGUUGCAAGUCAGCCCAUAUUUCUUCUGUAUGAUUUUAGGAAUAGGUCUUAUACAUUGAUUGGGUUCGAAUAUAAGCAAUGGUAAGCAGGGGCAGCUAGCAUAGAAGUACAGAGUCGGCAAGAAUCCAGUAACUUUGGUCUGACCCUGUAUAUUUAUUGAGAAGUCUACUAAAUAUGUACAUACAAUCAAAUCAUUCACAGACCUCAAAUCUUAAAUCUGCCUUCGGUCGUAAGUGGAGACUUUGAACCUAGUGAUUGAUCCAAAAGGAACAUGUUAAGUUCUUCACUGUGCAGAAGAUUGUUGUGUGUCAACUUUCUCCUCUUCUACUAUUUGGUAUAUGCUCAAGAGUUCUUGAUACUUUUGUGUUGUUAUUCAAGUGUACCUUGUCAUAUAAGUUCAUUUGAGGUGUUUUUCUUGUUUCCAGUUUCAUUUCAUGUUAAGCUUGAAAAAUUACCCCGUUAAAUGAAACUAUAUAUAGUAUUUCGUGUUAA